UAUAUAUAUUUAAAUACAUAUCCAAAAGUGCCCUGAAGAGAACUCUACAGAGUUGAGAGUUUGUCGGACUUCGACUGGGGCCUGGUGGCUGGCUGGCUGUUGACUGCUUUUGUGUACGUUGCUUACCUGUCGUGUUGGCCACGUUUGUGACGAUCUGAUCAGUGCACCGUCAGCCAGCGGCGCGCUCGGUUCGUACGAGCAGAGCGCGCACCCAACAACAGCAACAAGAGCCGAACCCCACAUCCAGAGAACUAGCAAUCGCAGAGAUACCAAAGAACAAAAAAAAGUGUUUGAUAAACUGAUAAUACAAUAGAACCCAAAAGAAUAUUUUCAAUCAGAAACGAAACGUGGCGCACACCUAUAAAUAAUACAUAUACACUCGUAUAUCUUUAAACCCAAAAGACAUAUCUAUCAACUAAUACCGAUACGAAAUAACAGCGAGCGAAAAAUGCAAAGACAAAACCCCAACUAAACCUAGCGGCAAAGUGUCAAUAAAACUCUCGAAUUCAUUAACACAACUCACAAAACGUUCUAUUAGUAAGCACUUGCAAAUUUCAACGAAAAGUUCCAGCGGAAAGAUAGCUGAAAACUGCUGAAAACACUGAACGGAACUGAACUGGAGACAGAGUCCCAUACAGAUAUGAAGAUAUAUAUAUAUAUAUAUAUAUAUAGAGAGAGAUAGAGAGAGAGAGGUGGCCUAGACGAGACCAGACUAGACACAAAUUAGCGUGGCCAACAGUCAAAAGGUCUAAUAGAAGCGCGUGUAUACGAGUAUAUACCCAUAUAGCUGUAUUCCAUACCUCGUACACCUCACCGAGAGACCCCAAAAGCCAUGAUCGUAAAAAUGUCGACAAAAAAUAACCAACCGAAACGAUGGCGACGAGACGAGACGAGACGCGAGGCUUGAUGCUUUCAUGUCCUUGGCCUGUAAAAGGGCAGUCAAAUUCUUGGCACUCCAUAACAACAACAUCAUCAAAGGCAUACAGCGAUUGCAAUGAUUCCCAGGAGUCCUUUCAGCGGAACCGUAUCGGAGCCAGAGGCCAAACCCCCCGCUGACGAGAACCAGAGCAGAGCCAGAGUCGGAGCACCUCUGAGACAAAUGCUGUGGACUCUCGUCUUGUCAAUCAAUUGGCCUGUGAUGGGGCCUAGGAACUGGAACUGGAAAUGGUCGUCGCAUCGAAUGCUUCCUGUUCGGGUAAGUUGAUACGUUGGACCAGGCUCUGGGUCUGGCUUAAUGAGCGACCCCGACCCCGACCCCGAGUUGACCUCAAAGCGGACUGAAAGCAAACCAAUUUAUCAAAAUGGAAAGAAGCACUGAAACAACUCCACGCAUAAUUAAACCAAACCAAAACAGAAAUACACAAUGGAAAGGAAAAAAUGAGAAACAGCAACAGAAACAGAAACAUAAAGAUAUCCAAAUGCGUUUUUAAACCGUUGAGCAACGCCUCUUUCUAACAGUUUUGUUUUCUUUCUUUUUUCAGUUUUUUUGAGUUUUUGUUUGAUUUUUGUUUCUUUUGGUUAAUUGCCGCUUAUUAAUCUUGGCCUGGCUUGGUUCCUAGGCCAGUUUAAUGGUCUCACAAACGAAAUUCUAAUUAAUGAAAUAUUUUUCUGCCUCGAAAAAUACUUUUCUGAGCCAUUGUCUGAGCGUUCCAACUCCCCAAAACAAAAACAAAAAGGCAAUUAAUCAUAGAAAAAAAAAAAAAUAAAAGUUAAAUUUGAGAAAUGUUUCCCUCAUUUUGGUUCGUUUGGAGCUGUUGACAAAUUUCUAAGUUUCUCAGAAGAUUGACAGGAAAAUUAAGUAAUCAAUCAUUUGCUAUCAAACGAAGCCGCCUCGAAGACGUAUGGCCUUUAUGACCGACCGACCGACCACCAUAUGUGCUAGGGACUGUUAGAGCUCGGACUUGGGCCAGACUCUUAUCAACAGAUGAUGCACGUCUGGGCCAUUAUUUAAAUGUUAAUUUGCGAAAUCACGUUAGUGGAGAAUGUUGACAAAAUCUCAGCGUAGUCAGGCUAUGAUUAAGCGGCGGAUAGACACUUGUAUUAUAAUCGGUAAUCGUGGAAAAGUACAAAGGUACGAGUAUAUGGUUUUUGCGUUGAAUCUGUGACGAAGGUAGAAUGGAUGGUUUUCCAUUCUUAACCUAGAGCAAUAGCUAUAAUUCCAGAAAAAGAUGCUGUGUCAAUAUCUUUCCAUAUUUCGACAACAAAUGAAAUACCCAGAGGAUUGUUGUUUUGCUAAACCUGAUUAGUAGGUAUCCCAUAGUCGCAAUAGCGAAUAUAGCAUUCCUUACUUGUUUUCAGUUUGCUGCUGUGCUAUCUCGCAUGCGAUUGAAAUGAAAUAUAAAAUUACAUUAAAUUACCGGAUGUAAUUGCGGUGGUCGUGCCAGUCGCUCAGCUCGUCAUUCGGUCCGACUCCUCCGAGAUCUACCAGCUUGGUCAGUGAAUCAUGAUGGGGGCCCCUACACAGCACACAGCGCUCACGAAAUGCGUCGAAACACAAAAGACUCAGGCCACGAACUCGAGUCGCUCCGUGCCCGAGACCGAGCCUAAGCCUGAGCCCGAGCACUCAUGACCAAAUCAGGGGUAGAACUAUGUACGAGUACAAACAGCCCACACACUCAAAGAGUGGAAGAGGAGACCCACACACAAAGACCAACUUGAGUUGUCUUAUCAGGGCUAACGAUUUUGUCAAAUGACAAUUUCCCCAGCCACAUUGAAUGCCUCUUUUUCACGCCAUUGACUUUUGUAUGGUCCAUUUAGUUGUCAAUUAUUUUUGAUAGCCUCCGCUCGGGCAGCUGAUAAGAACCUCCUCGGAGAAUGGAGUGGGGCGACCAGACUUGUUUAACCAACAACAAACGAACGAAAGAAAGGAAAAAAACAGAUUUGGGAUUGUGGAUUGGGGAUUGUGUGUACUGGUAGCUCCAGCUACUCGUACUCCUUCUUCCUCUCUCUCUAUCUAUCUAUCUGUCUGUCUGUGCCACAUUUGCAUAUUGAACGGCAGUUUGUCUUGAGCCUGAGCUUUUAGUUAUGGCCAAACAUUAAAUUUAACUAUUAAGCCAUUUUUGGUGUCCAGUUUUGUGUGGUUCGACUUUCCAAGCGGCCACCAAACAUACCACCAAACAUUGUCCGUUGACAGUUGUACCUUAUGAGAGUCUUUUUUUCGUCUGUGCCUUUUUUUCUGGUUAAAUUUAUGAGCCAAAGACACGGGAGGACAAACAUACAGACGGACAGACGGACAGAAUGAUUAACAAGAAAUUGAGAGGCAUGGGAACUAGGAAUUGGAGGAGCUAAAAGGCCAAAAACUCACUCAAAGGUGAAGUGAAAUUUGCAGACAUUUCUGUUGCUAACUGAAUAAUAAAAUAUGUAAAUAGGUAUUCACGAAAUAGCUUUAAGUAGACUGUUUUUGAGAAUAAUCCCCUGAUGAUAGCUUGUAAAGUGUAGCAAUGUAAAGCUUUACAUUUUCGCAGAAUUAGCUCACAAAAUCCGAUACGGGAACCUCGUGAGACCUGAUUGAAUCGUACCAUUAAAGAAAUUUCAAAUUACCAUGAGAUAAAAAUCAAUUUUUUUGUUGCAACUCAAUCAAGAGGCUGCUGACCUAUAUAUGACUUCCACUUAUACAGAUAUGUACAUAUCCUCGUUACAUAUUCCCCCUUCAUAUUGAUAUUUCCCCCUGCCAUUUCCAUCUGUGUCUCGUUUGGGGUUCGUGCAACAAUUUUCGUCGAAAACAAUUUUGCAGAGCCAUGGAUCGUAUCAAAGGGGAGCAGUAUACGCAGGCAUGGGGGGGGGCUGAAGGAAAGAUCAACAGAAAAUGAGAAAUUUUUGCAGUGCAUAUGCCACGCACGUAGAAACCAAACCGAAAGAUACAACAGUAACAGUAACAAUCAGACAAUCAUGCACAUAAUCAUGCCAUCAAUAUAUGGCAAUUAUCAAUGAAAUUUAUAACAAUCCUCGAAAUGUAACGAAAACUUAACCGACCAAUAAAAAUUUCAUUUUUCAACAAGAAAGGCAGGAAAGGAAGGCUUACCACACGAACCGAACUUGGGGAUACUCUUGCAGCCAUCAUUCCUAUGAUGUCGGAGUGUAGUGAUUCGGAUUUGAUCAUCAGAUCUAGUCAUACCAUUUUGGUACAUACAUAUAUCGUUUCACUGUUGAAGUUAUUCCCGAAUGUAUACUAUGGUGGAAGAUGUUUCUUCCUUUCUGUUACAAAAUUCUGUUUAAAAUCGUAUUGCUCUCUGCAAAGGGAAUAUACUAUAGGAGGAGUCUCACGUCAAGUCCAGUCUGUUGCUGCUGCGGCUGCUGCCUCGUGCUGUGUCCAGUUCGUCAUCCUCAUUCCACAGCAACAUAAUAAUCAUGAUCAUCAUGAUCAUAAUCAUGAGCAACAUUGUUGUUGUUUGGGGACUGUGCUGUGCUGUGCUGUGCUGCUUCGCUUCGCCUUGUGAUCUGCAUCAUAAAAACGUGCCAGAUUGAUGCGUGAUUGAAAUGCCAAUUGGUUUCCAGUUGAAGUUGGAGUUCGAAUUCGAGUUCGACUUUGAGCUGGACACCAAUUGUUUCGGCGUGUGUUUGUUUGAGUGUGCGUUCUUUGUACCGUUAUGCCGCUGGCCUGUGUUGGCGUACCCGACACCAUUUUUCCACCUUCUCCAUCAUCUUUUUCCCGAUUACAAUCAGCAUUGUCAUCUUAGACAAUUAGAGCAAGACAAUAUAAGAUUUCGGUUUUAUGUUAGAGCAUUUGACUACAAAGAAGAGGGAUUAUUAGGUACUGGAUAAACGGAACAAACAGCAUUUGUAGCAAACUUAUGAUUAUUAUACUAUAAAGGGUUAAAAUCCAGCAUGAAAUUUAUUUGAUAUGCUGUAAAGCAGGUGCUGCCUUGUUUGCCCAGUACUUAAAGAAGAGAUGUAGCAGAAAGAGAACAGAACACAGCAAGAGAGAGAGUUAAAUCGAUCCGCUAGAUAAACAGUUAGAGCUUCACCCAUAUAAAGAAAAGUAGCGAGAGGAAGAUGGGAUGGCAGGAAAGUCAGAAAGAGAGAGAGAUUUCCGUUGACCGCUUACCGUUGGGCGAUGUGUUGUUUUUGUUUUUUUUUUUGUCGCCAUGACCAUGACUUGUGGAUGUACACAGUCGUUGUUGUUUCUUGGGUCCCAUGUGUGUCAUGCUCUUCACAGAUUUUACUGAGCUUUUCCAUAAGGUUUGUAACGGAUGUGGCCAAGAAUGACAAUCAAUGUAUCGAUAACAGAGAAUUUCGACUGCCGUUAAUUUAAUUCAUAUUUAAUUAUUUCUUUUAUACACAUUCAUCAAUCAACAUUCCAUAGGAGAGUAUUCCCAGUUCGUUCUGGAUGGAAUUCCUAUUAAUAUGCAUUCGAGAUGCCGCUGUCACCGCCGCCUGAUGAAUGGAAGUCUGCUGGCGCCACAAACCAGAGAACUAUCAAACUCCUCUUACAAUCUUACCAUAUAGGGCAACGGCAAGCCGAUCGACUCCUCCUCCGUGGAAAUAUCAAUGCAACCUAACAGCCACAGCCACAGCCACAGCCGAGGAUGGACUGCCACUGCCACUGCCUCAACAGCAUCAGCCACUUGCUGCUUCUGCUCCUGCUUCUGCCAGCAACUUCCUCUCUUAUCUCCGACUACAAAUUGACCAUUUCAAUUAAUGAAACGCACUUAAACAUUAAAGAGUCGGUUGUCUGUUGGUCGGGGGACCUCUGGCUCUUCGUAUGAGUGUGUACUCAAGUGUCGGCACUAAUGAACAUGGCGAAUCGUUAAAAAAACAACUUCUUUCUUUCCUUUACCCUUUCCUUGGCUUAUCCUCCUACUCGAGCCGCCGCCUCGUCCCGCUCACAUUUGCAUAUUUUGUUGUCGAGAUUAAGCGCGUAAAUUUGUCGUUAAAAAUCAUGUUUGAGAUCGGCAAUGGAGACACACGCGAUUAUACACCUAGACAGGGGUGUGGACAGGAUAUUUUUUGUUUCAUUAAGGGGGGCUUGAAAUUGAUUAAUGCAGGAAAACUAAAAAUUGUAAUAAAUAUUUUAUAUUUCCUUGAUCCUUAAUAGCAAAAAAAAA